rnacentral:sRNA from 1 species
GCAGGGCUAGUGACUGGGGUGAAGUCGUAACAAGGUAGCCGUACCGGAAGGUGUGGCUGGAUCACCUCCUUAAAGGGAGACCUAAUUCCGGUAGGAGACGAAAAAAAAGUAGUCGCUACCAAGAAUCAAUCCCAAAAGGUCGGAGCGAGGCGAAAUUGGCUUUCAAACUAGGUUCUGGGUUCAAACAAGACCUGAAUCAGGAACAAGGGCUAUUAGCUCAGGUGGUUAGAGCGCACCCCUGAUAAGGGUGAGGUCCCUGGUUCGAGUCCAGGAUGGCCCACCUGUACAGGUGGCAAAAAGAAAGAAAAGAAGCGAGGAAUCAGCACCUUAUCUUACUGACAUAGUAAGAGAGAAUGCUGGCUCUGAGUAAAGAGUCCAGAGGAACCUUGAAAACUGCAUAGAGCUAGG